rnacentral:rRNA from 1 species
GGCUCCUACGGGAGGCAGCAGUAGGGAAUCUUCGGCAAUGGACGGAAGUCUGACCGAGCAACGCCGCGUGAGUGAAGAAGGUUUUCGGAUCGUAAAGCUCUGUUGUAAGAGAAGAACGAGUGUGAGAGUGGAAAGUUCACACUGUGACGGUAUCUUACCAGAAAGGGACGGCUAACUACGUGCCAGCAGCCGCGGUAAUACGUAGGUCCCGAGCGUUGUCCGGAUUUAUUGGGCGUAAAGCGAGCGCAGGCGGUUAGAUAAGUCUGAAGUUAAAGGCUGUGGCUUAACCAUAGUACGCUUUGGAAACUGUUUAACUUGAGUGCAAGAGGGGAGAGUGGAAUUCCAUGUGUAGCGGUGAAAUGCGUAGAUAUAUGGAGGAACACCGGUGGCGAAAGCGGCUCUCUGGCUUGUAACUGACGCUGAGGCUCGAAAGCGUGGGGAGCAAACAGGAUUAGAUACCCUGGUAGUCCACGCCGUAAACGAUGAGUGCUAGGUGUUAGACCCUUUCCGGGGUUUAGUGCCGUAGCUAACGCAUUAAGCACUCCGCCUGGGGAGUACGACCGCAAGGUUGAAACUCAAAGGAAUUGACGGA